rnacentral:rRNA from 1 species
GACGAACGCUGGCGGCGUGCCUAAUACAUGCAAGUCGAACGCAUUUUCUUUCACCGUAGCUUGCUACACCGAAAGAAAAUGAGUGGCGAACGGGUGAGUAACACGUGGGCAACCUGCCCAUCAGCGGGGGAUAACACUUGGAAACAGGUGCUAAUACCGCAUAAUUCCAUUUACCGCAUGGUAGAGGGAUGAAAGGCGCUUUUGCGUCACUGAUGGAUGGACCCGCGGUGCAUUAGCUAGUUGGUGGGGUAACGGCCUACCAAGGCUGCGAUGCAUAGCCGACCUGAGAGGGUGAUCGGCCACACUGGGACUGAGACACGGCCCAGACUCCUACGGGAGGCAGCAGUAGGGAAUCUUCGGCAAUGGACGCAAGUCUGACCGAGCAACGCCGCGUGAGUGAAGAAGGUUUUUGGAUCGUAAAACUCUGUUGUUAGAGAAGAACAAGGAUGAGAGUGGAAAGUUCAUCCCUUGACGGUAUCUAACCAGAAAGCCACGGCUAACUACGUG